AACGAACGCUGGCGGCAUGCCUAACACAUGCAAGUCGAACGAGACCUUCGGGUCUAGUGGCGCACGGGUGCGUAACGCGUGGGAACCUGCCCUUAGGUUCGGAAUAACUCCCCGAAAGGGGUGCUAAUACCGGAUAAUGUCUUCGGACCAAAGAUUUAUCGCCUUUGGAUGGGCCCGCGUUGGAUUAGCUAGUUGGUAGGGUAAAAGCCUACCAAGGCGACGAUCCAUAGCUGGUCUGAGAGGAUGAUCAGCCACACUGGGACUGAGACACGGCCCAGACUCCUACGGGAGGCAGCAGUGGGGAAUAUUGAACAAGGGGCGAAAGCCUGAUCAAGCAAUGCCGCGUGAGUGAUGAAGGCCUUAGGGUUGUAAAGCUCUUUUACCCGGGAUGAUAAUGACAGUACCGGGAGAAUAAGCUCCGGCUAACUCCGUG
rnacentral:rRNA from 1 species